rfam:Candidatus Entotheonella sp. TSY2 genomic scaffold TSY2_scaffold00428, whole genome shotgun sequence.
CGGCGUGUAGCUCAGCGGUGAGAGCGGCGUCCUUAUAAGACGCGGGCCGAAGGUUCAAUUCCUUCCACGCCGA